rnacentral:tRNA from 1 species
UCUAAUAUGGCAGAUUAGUGCAAUGAAUUUAAGAUUCAUAUAUAAAAAAUAUAUUUUUUUAUUAGAA